rnacentral:rRNA from 1 species
CAGCCGCCGCGGGAAUACGAAGGGGGCUAGCGUUGUUCGGAAUCACUGGGCGUAAAGCGCACGUAGGCGGACGCUUAAGUCAGGGGUGAAAUCCCGAGGCUCAACCUCGGAACUGCCUUUGAUACUGGGUGUCUUGAGUCCGGGAGAGGUGAGUGGAACUGCGAGUGUAGAGGUGAAAUUCGUAGAUAUUGGGAAGAACACCGGUGGCGGAGGCGGCGACCUGGUCCUUUACUGACGCUGAGGCGCGAAAGCGUGGGGAGCAAACAGGAUUAGAUACCCGCGUAGUCCCUGUCUCUUAUAC